rnacentral:lncRNA from 1 species
AACAGAACACAGACCAUCCCCAACAGAACACAGACCAUCCCCAACAGAACACAGACCAUCCCCAACAGAACACAGACCAUCCCCAACAGAACACAGACCAUCCCCAACAGAACACAGACCAACCCCAACAGAACACAGACCAACCCCAACAGAACACAGACCAUCCUCAACGGAACACAGACCAUCAGUGAAGAGUACACAGCAUAAAAUAAUGAAGGAUCUCAAUUGCGUUUCCUUGGUUCCUUGCAUCCUCUCUCCUCGCCUCUUUUUCAAAACCCAUUGGAUUAGUUUAAAUUUAUUUUAUUUUUUAUUUAACCUUUAUUUAACUAGGCAAGUCAGUUAAGAACACAUUAUUAUUUUACAAUGACGGCCUACACCAUCAAAUCCCUCCCCUAACCCAGACGACGCUGGGCCAAUUGUGCGUCGCCCUAUGGGACUCCCAAUCCCGGCCGGUUGUGAUACAGCCUGGAUUCGACCCAGGGACUGUAGUGAAGCCUCUAGCACUGAAAUGCAGUGCCUUAGAUUGAUGCGCCACUCGGGAACCCGAGAAGGUGCGUCACUUGCCACCAACAGAUGGUGGCGAGGAACGAUGACAAGAGCAAUUAAUUAAUCAAUUAAGGAAAUGCUAUUUAAAUUUAAAGGUCAACAGGAGUUCUCCCUAUGAGCACAAGACGUUGAAAAUAUAUUUUUGGGGUUGAAAAGACUUAAAAAGACAUUGAAAAACAAGACAUCUUUCAACCAUAUUUUGCUGGUAUUUCUCUUCCUCAAACACCAAGACAAUACCAUCAUCAUAAUCGAUUCUGUUGAAUGGUUUUCCUUUGAGCCCGUCCAUUGGGUAAACACCUGGUUUAACCAGUACCAUUCCGCAGGUUGUGUCUAUUAAUAUUCAUCAUUGUACAGGUAUAAAAACAUACGUACGCAAGUAUAAAAGCGAUGAUCACUGCCACAACUUCCUCUUUCAACACAGAUCUCAGAUCAACCAACGCAGUAACACAGGUAGGUUACUAAACAUUUAUAUAAUACAGGUCGGUCUUGUUAGUGUUUAUGUCUUUAUAUAUAUAUAUAUAUUACAAUGAGAAGGGAAGGAUACAGGUCAGUCUUGUUAGUGUUUAUGUCUUUAUAUAUAUAUAUAUUACAAUGAGAAGGGAAGGGUACAGGUCAGUCUUGUUAGUGUUUAUGUCUUUAUAUAUAUAUAUAUUACAAUGAGAAGGGAAGGGUACAGGUCAGUCUUGUUAGUGUUUAUGUCUUUAUAUAUAUAUAUAUUACAAUGAGAAGGGAAGGAUACAGGUCAGUCUUGUUAGUGUUCAUGUCUUUAUAUCAGGUCAUUAUAUUAAUACAAUUAUAAUGAGUUGAUGCAUGUACAGGGAGGAAAUUGUAUUUCAAAAAAAAAUUAUUGAUAGUAGUUACAGUCUUGUCUCAUCACUAUAACUUCUGUACGGACUCAGGAGAGGCAAAGUGGAGAGCCAUGCGUCCUCCGAAACACAACCCAACCAAGCCGCACUGCUUCUUGACACAACACACAGACAACACAGAAGCCAGCCACACCAAUGUGACACCAUACACCUGGCGACCGUGUCAGCAUGCACUGCACCCAGCCCGCCACAGGAGUCACUAGUGUGCAAUGAGACAAGGACAUCCCUGCCAGCCAAACCCUCCCCUAACCCAGACGACACUGGGCCAAUUGUGCACCGCCCCAUCGGCCUCCCAGUUACGGCCGGCUGCAACAGAGCCUGGGCUCAAACCCAGAAUCUCUGGUGGCACAGCUAGCACUGCAAUGCAGUGCCUUAGACCACUGCGCCACCCAGGAGGCCCAUCAGUUCUUGAAUGAAUUGUUUUCACUUGUGUCUGCCAGUCACUUCUAAUUGGAGAAUAAAUAAACCUACAAGCUGUAGGCUACUAUACAAUCACAACUUACUUUGCAACUAGUUGGAAACAACUUAACUCAUUGAGUGCCAUUGGAACUGACAAUACAGUAGGCGUGUUGUGUCUGUUUUACAAGCCGAAGACAGAAGAAAGGUGCUGGUGUAUCUUGUAGUAUUUUGUUGUUUAUUAAAAACCCUGCAACCUACCUGUUAUUGUCAACCAUAAAAUAUCAAAUAAUAUUUUUUUAAAUAAUGAUUUCACAGGUCCAAUGGCAGCCAUGGUGAAAUCUGAGCCUCUUGAUGGCAAUGGUGAUUCACUGUCAGAUCAAAAGAGUAAGAAGAUGAAGAUAACUGAGCCUAAUGAUAGCAUGGUC